rnacentral:rRNA from 1 species
AGGUUUAACCUGCCCAUUGAUUAAAUUUAACGGCCGCAGUAAUUUGACUGUGCAAAGGUAGCAUAAUCAUUAGUUUUUUAAUUAAAAGCUUGUAUGAAUGGUUGGACGAGAUAAUAUCUGUCUCUUAAUAAUAAAUAGAAUUUAAUUUUUAAGUAAAAAAGCUUAAAUGAAAAUAAAAGACGAGAAGACCCUAUAGAUCUUUAUAUAACUUUUUUUAAUUUUAAUUAUGAUUGAUUUAUUUAUUAAAAAAUUUUAUAUUUUAUUGGGGUAAUAAAAAGAUUAGAUUAAUUCUUUUUUAUUUAACAUAGAUAAAUGAAUUAAUGAUCCAAUAUUAUUGAUUAAAAGAUUAAGUUACCUUAGGGAUAACAGCGUAAUUUUUUUGGAGAGUUCAUAUCGAUAAAAAAGUUUGCGACCUCGAUGUUGGAUUAAAAAUUAUUUUAGGCGUAGAAGUUUAAAAUUUUGGUCUGUUCGACCAUUAAAUUUUUACAUGAUCUGAGUUCAGACCGGUGUAAGCCAGGUCGGUUUCUAUCUUUAUUGAGUUAAAAUAUUUUAGUACGAAAGGACCAAAUAUUAAAUAUAAAUAUAUUUUGAAAUUUGAAUAA